CUCCUGAUGAGACACUGAUACUCACUAUGAGGUAGGACCCCUCCUGACGAGACACUGAUACUCACUAUGAGGUAGGACCCCUCCUGAUGAGAGACUGAUACUCACUAUGAGGUAGGACCCCUCCUGAUGAGACACUGAUACUCACUAUGAGGUAGGACCCCUCCUGACGAGACACUGAUACUCACUAUGAGGUAGGACCCC